AUUGAACGCUGGCGGCAUGCCUUACACAUGCAAGUCGAACGGUAACAGGUCUUCGGAUGCUGACGAGUGGCGAACGGGUGAGUAAUACAUCGGAACGUGCCCAGUCGUGGGGGAUAACGAAGGGAAAGCUUUGCUAAUACCGCAUACGAUCUACGGAUGAAAGCGGGAGAUCGCAAGACCUCGCGCGAUUGGAGCGGCCGAUGGCAGAUUAGGUAGUUGGUGGGGUAAAGGCUUACCAAGCCUACGAUCUGUAGCUGGUCUGAGAGGACGACCAGCCACACUGGGACUGAGACACGGCCCAGACUCCUACGGGAGGCAGCAGUGGGGAAUUUUGGACAAUGGGCGCAAGCCUGAUCCAGCAAUGCCGCGUGCAGGAUGAAGGCCUUCGGGUUGUAAACUGCUUUUGUACGGAACGAAAAGCUCUGGGUUAAUACCCUGGGGUCAUGACAGUACCGUAAGAAUAAGCACCGGCUAACUACGUGCCAGCCGCCGCCGUAA
rnacentral:rRNA from 1 species